GACGAACGCUGGCGGCGUGCCUAAUACAUGCAAGUAGAACGCUGAAGGAGGAGCUUGCUUCUCUGGAUGAGUUGCGAACGGGUGAGUAACGCGUAGGUAACCUGCCUGGUAGCGGGGGAUAACUAUUGGAAACGAUAGCUAAUACCGCAUAAUAGUAGAUGUUGCAUGACAUUUGCUUAAAAGGUGCAAUUGCAUCACUACCAGAUGGACCUGCGUUGUAUUAGCUAGUUGGUGGGGUAACGGCUCACCAAGGCGACGAUACAUAGCCGACCUGAGAGGGUGAUCGGCCACACUGGGACUGAGACACGGCCCAGACUCCUACGGGAGGCAGCAGUAGGGAAUCUACGGCAAUGGACGGAAGUCUGACCGAGCAACGCCGCGUGAGUGAAGAAGGUUUUCGGAUCGUAAAGCUCUGUUGUAAGAGAAGAACGAGUGUGAGAGUGGAAAGUUCACACUGUGACGGUAUCUUACCAGAAAGGGACGGCUAACUACGUG
rnacentral:rRNA from 1 species